UGAAGUAAGGGACCUUUACAGCCUUGAAGGAGCCCUUAGUGAAAGAAAAAACAACAACAACAGAUGCUGCAUUGGAGUACUGCUGAGUAGCACCUCAUUAUACUUCAUGAAGACUUCAAGCGGAUUGACGGGUCUAAUUCUUACCCUUGUCGACCAAUGAAGAGAGUUGUCGGACAAUGCGGACGGUCGGUACGGCAGGCGGUGCAUCAGCCAAGGUCCGAAGGUUCGGUCUAUAUAGCGCUUGGUACUCUGAGGCAAGCCUUCACGCUCUCUGUCACGAUACGCUGCAGAGAAGUUUCGGACGUCGUGCGCAGACCAUAGGGCUGGCAAGUGUGACCGACAGACACAACAAAGAACAUCGAUGUUUGCAUCCCGAGGAAGAGUCAUCUAUAUCACACUAUUGGAUCUCAAGUAUACAAAGCAGGUACGCCUAUGUACCAGCUACAGUCGUGACGACGCCAACAAAGGCAAACUGCCUACAUCACCACCACAACAUAGUACCAUACUCAAACGGCAGGGGAAUCUGUAGUCUUUGUUGGGACACAAAGGAACGACAACCGUUCAGAAGACAG